rnacentral:lncRNA from 1 species
UCAUCACACCAAUCAUUCUGGGAUUUUAGGCUCGCACCCGUCUCGUCCUCAAGCACAUUUGGCAUACUCGUCCGAUCCAACUUCGUUAACGCCUCUCCCCGCUUCCCUAACUCAUGCUUUCAACACGAUGACUCUCCAAGAGCCUGCAAAUCCUUGGAUUAUGGACACCGGUUCGACCGAACACGUUGCCUCUAGCACAGGUAAUCUCCACUCUCUUUUUAAUACGAGCACCAUGCCUCUUGUUACUGUUGGAAAUGGUUCUGUUGCUG